rnacentral:rRNA from 1 species
GCUGGCGGCAGGCCUAACACAUGCAAGUCGAGCGGAAACGAGUUAACUGACCCUUCGGGUGACGUUAACGGCGUCGAGCGGCGGACGGGUGAGUAAUGCCUGGGAAAUUGCCCUGAUGUGGGGGAUAACCAUUGGAAACGAUGGCUAAUACCGCAUAAUGCCUUCGGGCCAAAGAGGGGGACCUUCGGGCCUCUCGCGUCAGGAUAUGCCCAGGUGGGAUUAGCUAGUUGGUGAGGUAAUGGCUCACCAAGGCGACGAUCCCUAGCUGGUCUGAGAGGAUGAUCAGCCACACUGGAACUGAGACACGGUCCAGACUCCUACGGGAGGCAGCAGUGGGGAAUAUUGCACAAUGGGCGCAAGCCUGAUGCAGCCAUGCCGCGUGUGUGAAGAAGGCUUCGGGUUGUAAAGCACUUUCAGCAGUGAGGAAGGCGGGUACGUUAAUAGCGUGCUCGUUUGACGUUAGCUGCAGAAGAAGCACCGGCUAACUCCGU